UAACAAUGUGGGUUGCUACCUGCAAUGUGGGUUGGUGAGGGAAGGUUGGCACGGGCGGCGGAUGCGGGGGUUGACGGUGAACGGCGGGGGCGACGUCGGCAGGGGUGACGGUGACCGACGAGGGCUCCUGGAGAUGGUAUGGCAGAGAGAGAGAGAGAGAGAGAGAGAGAGAGAGAGAGAGCGUAGAGGGAAGGAGAGGUGUCGGGGUCGGGGUGGGGUGCGGGUAUACCUAAUGAAGACGGUGAAUUGUUCACCGUCUUCAUAAAGCGAUGAACGAUUCAUCUUCUUAUCUUGGGCACUGCAAGGCGGAGGUGCUUUGCACUAAAGGCGGUGAAUCGUUCACCGCCUUAUUAAGACGGUGAACGAUUCACCGUCUUCUCUAGGGCACAGCCGUGUUGUGGUGAUGGUUUUGUACUAAAUGCGGUGAAUUGUUCAGGUGAUGGUUUUGUACUAAAUGCGGUAAAUCGUUCACCAUUUUAUGAAGACGGUGAACGAUUCACUGUCUUACUAAGGCCACGCCCAAGACUUGGAGAGAUUUGCGCAGCGGGAUGGGGAUUUGCACUAAAGGCAGUAAAUAGUUCACCGUCUUCUCAAGGCAGUGAACCAUAUACCGUCUUCACAACAAAUAUUACAAAGACGGUGAACAAUUCACCGUCUUUGUGAGAAAAUCUUGACAUGGCGCCCACGUGACAAAAGAAGGAUAAGUUUUACAAAUAAAUUUUGGCAGGGACAUUUUGCUAAUUUCGAUUUUUU
rnacentral:lncRNA from 1 species